GACGAACGCUGGCGGCGUGCUUAACACAUGCAAGUCGAACGAUGAAGCCGGAGCUUGCUCUGGUGAAUUAGUGGCGAACGGGUGAGUAACACGUGAGUAACCUGCCCUUGACUCUGGGAUAACUGCGGGAAACUGUAGCUAAUACCGGAUACGACCCUCGGAGGCAUCUCCUGGGGGUGGAAAGAAUUUCGGUCAAGGAUGGACUCGCGGCCUAUCAGCUAGUUGGUGAGGUAAAGGCUCACCAAGGCGACGACGGGUAGCCGGCCUGAGAGGGUGACCGGCCACACUGGGACUGAGACACGGCCCAGACUCCUACGGGAGGCAGCAGUGGGGAAUAUUGCACAAUGGGCGCAAGCCUGAUGCAGCAACGCCGCGUGAGGGAUGACGGCCUUCGGGUUGUAAACCUCUUUUAGUAGGGAAGAAGCGAAAGUGACGGUACCUGCAGAAAAAGCACCGGCUAACUACGUGCCAGCAGCAGCCGCGG
rnacentral:rRNA from 1 species